UACGAAGGGUGCAAGCGUUGUUCGGAUUUACUGGGCGUAAAGCGCGCGCAGGCGGAUUGAUAAGUCAGAUGUGAAAUCUCGGGGCUCAACCCCGAAACUGCGUCUGAAACUGUUGAUCUAGAGUUAUGUAGGGGAGAAGGGAAUUUCGCAUGUAGGGGUAAAAUCCGUAGAGAUGCGAAGGAACACCAGAGCCGAAGGGGCUUCCCUGGGCAUACACUGACGCUGAGGCGCGAAAGCGUGGGUAGCAAACAGGAUUAGAUACCCUGGUAGUCCACGCCGUAAACGAUGAGUACUAGAUUUUGGGGCCUUUGACCGCUUCAGAGUCGCAGCUAACGCAUUAAGUGCUCCGCCUGGGGAGUACGCACGCAAGUGUGAAACUCAAAGGAAUUGACGGGGGCCCGCACAAGCGGUGGAGUAUGUGGUUUAAUUCGAUGCAACGCGAAGAACCUUACCAGGGUUUGACAUCCUGCGAAUCUCUUGGAAACAGGAGAGUGCCUUCGGGAACGCAGUGACAGGUGGUGCAUGGCUGUCGUCAGCUCGUGUCGUGAGAUGUUGGGUUAAGUCCCGCAACGAGCGCAACCCACGUCUUUAGUUGCCAGCAUUUAGUUGGGCACUCUAGAGAGACUGCCGGUGAUAAACCGGAGGAAGGUGUGGAUGACGUCAAGUCAUCAUGCCCCUUACAUCCUGGGCUACACACGUACUACAAUGCUACGGACAAAGGGCAGCAAGUUCGCGAGGACAAGCAAAUCCCAUAAACCGUGGCUCAGUUCAGAUCGUAGCUGCAACUCGCCUACGUGAAGGCGGAAUCGCUAGUAAUCGCAGGUCGGCAUACUGCGGUGAAUACGUUCCCGGGCC
rnacentral:rRNA from 1 species